rnacentral:rRNA from 1 species
AGAGUUUGAUCAUGGCUCAGGACGAACGCUGGCGGCGUGCCUAAUACAUGCAAGUAGAACGCUGAAGAAAGGAGCUUGCUUCUUUUGGAUGAGUUGCGAACGGGUGAGUAACGCGUAGGUAACCUGCCUUGCAGCGGGGGAUAACUAUUGGAAACGAUAGCUAAUACCGCAUAACAGCUUUUGACACAUGUUAGAAGCUUGAAAGAUGCAAUUGCAUCACUACGAGAUGGACCUGCGUUGUAUUAGCUAGUAGGUAGGGUAACGGCCUACCUAGGCGACGAUACAUAGCCGACCUGAGAGGGUGAUCGGCCACACUGGGACUGAGACACGGCCCAGACUCCUACGGGAGGCAGCAGUAGGGAAUCUUCGGCAAUGGGGGCAACCCUGACCGAGCAACGCCGCGUGAGUGAAGAAGGUUUUCGGAUCGUAAAGCUCUGUUGUAAGAGAAGAACGUGUGUGAGAGUGGAAAGUUCACACAGUGACGGCAACUUACCAGAAAGGGACGGCUAACUACGCGCCAGCAGCCGCGGUAAUACGUAGGUCCCGAGCGUUGUCCGGAUUUAUUGGGCGUAAAGCGAGCGCAGGCGGUUUAAUAAGUCUGAAGUUAAAGGCAGUGGCUUAACCAUUGUUCGCUUUGGAAACUGUUAAACUUGAGUGCAGAAGGGGAGAGUGGAAUUCCAUGUGUAGCGGUGAAAUGCGUAGAUAUAUGGAGGAACACCGGUGGCGAAAGCGGCUCUCUGGUCUGUAACUGACGCUGAGGCUCGAAAGCGUGGGGAGCAAACAGGAUUAGAUACCCUGGUAGUCCACGCCGUAAACGAUGAGUGCUAGGUGUUAGGCCCUUUCCGGGGCUUAGUGCCGCAGCUAACGCAUUAAGCACUCCGCCUGGGGAGUACGACCGCAAGGUUGAAACUCAAAGGAAUUGACGG